rnacentral:lncRNA from 1 species
AUGAAGCUGGCUGUGAAAACACAGAAAACACAGUCUUUACGCUCACAGAGCUUGAGGACAACCAGGGUGACAAGAAAACCAUCCGGGCAGGGUCAGCUCAGUGCUGGCGCGUUUGGCAGCAACCGGGAGACGGCUGUGGCUUGCUUCAGGACCGACAUGGAGCAGAUGGGAUGCAAGGCUGACAAACUCUGUCAGUGAGACUCUGUGGAUAGAAAGCAUGAGUAGGUGCCAAACAUUCCAGGUAAGCAGCGAAUGCAGAUUUCCUCCUUGCAUCUCACCCAACUGUGCUUAAAAUGGCUUGUCUGGCACACUUUGAGGGGUUAGCCUAUUUUCUUGCAUUCAAAAGAAUGUCUAACUCUUUGUUCUUGAAUCAAACCCAGUGAGUGAAGACUAAGUGUUCCAGAUGGGCCAACCACGCAGAAGCAUGGUGGCAGCUCUGAGAUGCCGCCCAGUGAGCCCCAGUAGUCACAUCCUGGAGAGUCCCUUCUUCACUGAAUAGGACCCAUCUGGUAACCAGUAGGACUGCAGAAAUGAUGUCCAAGGUUAGGCCAUAAAAGACAUGGUUCCUGCCUUGCUCUCCUUGAAUCACUUACUCGGGAGCAGCCAGCUGCCAUGUUGUAAGGACACUCAAGCAGCUCUGUGGAGGAGUCCAUGUAGUGGGAAACUGAGGCCUCCCACCAACAGCCAGCACCAACCUGCUAGGCAGGUGGGUGCACCACCUCAGAGGUAAAUCCUCCAGCCUAAGUUGAACCUCCAAUGACACAGCCCCAGCUGACACCCUGACUGCAACCCCAUGAAAUCCCUGAGCUAGAACCACCCAGCUAAGCCGCUCCUGAAUUCCUGACCCACAGAAACUAUGAAAUAAUAAAUGUUCAUUGUCAUUUCAAGCCACUAAGUUUUGGGGUCAUUUGUUACACAGCAGUAGAAAUCUGAUACAGGCAUACUGUGGUCCCUUCCUCCCUUCCCAGGGACAGAGUCACUUUGGAAAGCUUCCUCAGAUCAUUUUCAAAGCACUUCUCAAUAACUCUUUUAGUUCUUGUUACAAAGUUUCAGUUUCACAAAUGGACUCCUACUGAUAUCACAGGCUGCUCCAACCCUCAACAGUGAGUUUGCUAAUAAACCAAAAUCAGGGACUGGGCACGGUGGCUCACGUCUGUAAUCCCAGCACUUUGGGAGGCCAAGACGGGCAGAUCACCUGAGGUCAGGAGUUCGAGACCAGCCUGACCAACAUGGAGAAACCUCAUCUCUACUAAAAAUACAAAAUUAGCCGGGCAUGGUGGCACACGCCUGUAAUCCCAGCUACUUGGGAGGCUGAGGCAGGAGAAUUGCUUGAACCCUGGAGGCAGAGGUUGCGGUGAGCCGAGAUCAUGCUACUGCACUCCAGCCUGGGCAACAGAGUGAAAAAACAAAAAAAUCAGGUUUCCACUGCAUUUACUUCCCUCUCUCGUACUGGGUAUGGAGGUAGUUGAAAUUCUAACAGGAAGGAUGCCUUCAAAAUUCUGCCAGUCUCCCUCCUUGUUACUGUGUAUGACGUGGUAUGACAUGCUAUCACAGUACUGCAAAGUCAUUGAUAACAUGUGGCAGGGGUGCCCUGGGUUCUGAAGCCCCACCAAGUCCUCCAGGCAAUCUUCUGGCUGUAGUAGCGCCUCCCUGGGAGAUGAGCUAGAAUUCAAGGAAGUCUGAUUCUAGGCUGUUUGCAUCAAGCGAGGACUCGGGGAAGAGGUG